GGUUCGGUAGCUCAGUUGGAUAGAGCAACAGCCUUCUAAGCUGUGGGUCAAGGGUUCGAAUCCCUUCCGAAUCA
rnacentral:tRNA from 2 species